CGGGCCCUCCCAGCCCUGUGUCCCUGCCCACCCACCCCUACCCCACGGGGAAUGCCCUGGGGGAUGGGGGCCUGAACAACUCACCAGCCCACCGCGGCUUCCAAGCUUCCUCCUGCCCUUUGCUCAAGCGUAGUUUGGGCCUUCUCAGCCCCCAGAGCUGCCGGCUUAGGCCAAUGGAAGUAGGAGGCAGUGACCGCCCCUAAAAACAACAUCCUGCUUGUAUUCUUUUAAAUAUCCAUCAAAAUAUAUCUUGUCCCUAGACCUGGCUCUUCCCUCUCUCCAUACGAAAAUGGGUGGCCUCCUCCCAAAGGAGGGCCUUCGCUGGGACCCUGCUUAAAAUAGCUCCUUUGAGGUAUUUGGAAGUUUUGAUGUUGGAGGCCUGCUUCCUGAAAUUUCUGUGCUGUGAGGGUGGCUUUGUGCCAGGUCGUCGCACAGGAGGCAAGAGCAGUGCCCCAAAACAGUGCGUAACUCAAACUGACAUCAACUGAGGCCAGUUUUCCCAAAGGAAUGAAUGCAAGUAGGAGUCUCGUGAUUUCGGAUUUCACACACAGAGUGGACCUUUACUACGGUGUUUAGUCUCAAGACUGCUUGGUUCAAAGAAAUCAGUAAAUUGCGUAAAGUGUGACCUCACAGUACCCUGGGCAAACAGUUUUGGGGCCAACAAUCGAAGGCAUCUGUGUGACCUUCUACUCACUCCCCAGGUAUCUGAACUGGGGAAGCCUGAAUGUGGCUAGAACACCACUCAAAAUCAGUGUUUUGGGUCAGUGAAUAUUUAGGCUUUAUUUCCUCCCACCCAAAAGCCCCUUUUCAGCCCCCAGAGGAAAAGAAAUGGACAAAAAGGUAAAGCCGUACACAGCCCUCGGCUUCUCUUCUCCCGCUGGGCCAUCCUGCACACAGGGGCAGACCUACGGGGCAGGAAGCAUCGGCCAAACCAGCCUCACCUUGACUGGGCAGAGUGGCUAAGAGUGGGGGUCCCAGAGCCUGCUGCCUGGGUUUGACUCCCAGCUCUGCUACUUACAAGCUGUGUGACUGUGGGUGAGUUACUUCACCUCCCUGGACCUCAGUCUCCUCAUCUAUAACAUUGUGGUGUGAAGAACCUCUACCUUGUGGGGUUAUUCAUUCACUAUAGUGAAUAAUAUCAUUUAUCAUAAUACAUAUAACUAUAAUUCAUUGUAAUGAAUAUUAUUCCUAUUCAUUCAUUUUUUCUUUCGUUCAUUUUUUAUUCAGACAAGGUUCUUAGUGGCUAGCAUGUAUGAUCAGCUGUUAUUCAUGCAACAGUUUAAACCUCCCCCAAAUCCUAUGACAUGGUGCUACUGUGGUAGAGAAAACUGAGAGACAGAGAGGCUGAUAACUUGCCCAAGGACACUCAGCUCACAAAUGGCAGAACCGUGGCCGUGGACUGAAAGACGUGUGUGUUUCUGGUCUAUGUGAUGCCAUGUGUAUUAGGUUCCUAUUGCUGUUGUAACAAAUUACCACAAGCUUAGUGGCUUAAAGCGAGAUAAAUUUAUGGUGUUACAGUUCUGGGGGUCAGAAUUCUGAAAUCAGUCUCACUGGGCUCAAGUUAAAGUGUCCGCAGGACUGGUCCCUUCUGGAGGCUUCACAAAAGAAUCUGUUUCUUUGCCUUUUUCAGCUUCUAGAGGCCACCAGCAUUCCUUGCCUCAUAGCCCCUUUCUCACAUCUCUCCAACCUCAACUUUCCAUCUUCAUAUAUCCUACUUUGACCUUCUUACUUCCUCUUAUAAGGACCCUUGGGAUUACACUGGGCCUACCUGGAUAAUCCAGGAUGAUUUCCCUAUCUCCAGAUCCUUAACUGAAUCACAUCUGCAAAACCCCUUUUACCAUGUAAGGUAAUAUAUGUACAGCUGUCAGGGAUUAGAACACGGACAUCUUGGGAGC